rnacentral:rRNA from 1 species
AGAGGAAGUAAAAGUCGUAACAAGGUUUCCGUAGGUGAACCUGCGGAAGGAUCAUUAAAGAUUCUGACCUUCGGGUCUAACUUUUCAGCUGUGCGCUUCGGCUGCACGCUGAUAAAACCUUACACACCUGUGCACAUUUCGGUCGCAAUCCUGCAUGCAGGUUAGCUUCCGCUUUCACAUACAACCACAUGUCUUGAAUGUAAAAAACUAUAAAAGUAACAACUUUCAACAACGGAUCUCUUGGCUCUCGCAUCGAUGAAGAACGCAGCGAAAUGCGAUAAGUAAUGUGAAUUGCAGAAUUCAGUGAAUCAUCGAAUCUUUGAACGCAUCUUGCGCCCCUUGGUAUUCCGAGGAGCAUGCCUGUUUCAGUGUCACGUAAACCCUCACACUUGCGAUGUAACAGUUUCAAGUUGUGGACUUGGACUGUGCCGUAGUUGGCUCGUCCUGAAAUGCAUUAGCUUGCGCUUAUUAGAGUGCCUGGCAUUGGUGUGAUAAUUAUCUGCGCCUUCGCCUAAUGCCUCUUCCGAAGUGUGGCUUCUAAUCGUCCUAAUGGACAACUUUUCAAACUUUUGGCCUGAAAUCAGGUAGGACUACCCGCUGAACUUAAGCAUAUCA